GAGAGAGAGAGAGAGAGAGAGAGAGAGAGAGAGAGAGCUAGGUUGGUAUACUAUCAGUAGCACGGAAGCUUCCGUGCUACCGAGUUGUUUUCAAUGAUACGACUUUCAAAUCAAUGAUCGACUCCGUUAGACUUGAUCUAUGCUAUUAAAAUUAUUUGGAAACUAAAUUUCAUAAUUUUUCAACAUCAUUUGGCUAGUGAUCAAAGGUCUCAAAAUUGAUAAUUUUAAUAGUAAAUGGGAUGCGUUUGUGAAUUUAACAGUGUAAAGCAAUCCAAAUUUGAUGAAAUUUUUAUAGAAAUUUUUUUUCACUAUUUAGAGUAAGAUCAGUACCUUUGAUGUUAAAUUCAAGCCUUUUAUUAUAAUUUUUUAUGAGAUUUUUAUUUUCAGCCGUUCAUUUUUAAACUACUCGUUUGAUAGGUAAAUGAUGCCGAAAAAUUAUGAAAUUUAGUUCCCAAAUACUUUCAAUAGUAUAAAUCAAGUCUAACAGAGCCGAUCGUUGAUUUGGAAGUUGCAUCAUUGAAAACAAUAUGGUAGCACUGAGGCCUCCGUGCUACCGAUAGUAUACCAGCCUAUCUCUCUCUCUCUCUCUCUCUCUCUCUCUUUAUAUAUAUAUAUAUAGAAACUAUUAAUAGCACCAAACUAUUGGUGCUAUUAAAUUUUUGGCCCUUGGAUGAAAAAAAUAUACGGUUCGGAUGAUGUGGGCCCUCUAUGAUUGAGUGAGUUAUUGGUUUAAUAAUAUAAUCUAACGGGUGAAAAUAGUUAAAGGGUUAAAUCUAACGGUGGAAAACUUGAUAGCACCAAACAUUUGAUGCUAUCGAUAAUAUUCCAGUCGGAUUCAUAUAUAUAUAUAGAGAGAGUAGAGCUACUAUGAUAUCGGAAGCAUAAAAAGGUUGGUGCUUCCGAUUUUUAGGCCCUUGGAUCAACUCCCACUGCAACAAAAUUACUUUUUAGCGGUGAUUAUUUUUUAAAUUAGCGGCAAUUAUAAUUGCCGCUAAAAUAUUUUGUGGCAAUUUUAACAAUUGCCGCUAUUGGUAGGGUCGCUAAAAGUUUUAGCGGCAUUUAUUUCGACGGUUGGUAAAACUCAAAAUAAAUGCCGCUAAAUAUUAUACAAUAACAACUAUUGUAAAUGCCGCUAAAUAGUAUACAAUAACAACUAUUAUAAAUGCUGCUAAAUAAUAUACGAUAACAACUAUUAUAAAUGCCGCUAUAAUUAAUUAUAAUUGUCGUAAAAAACAUACUAAAUGAUUGGUAAAUAAAGCUUAUAGCGGCAAUUACAAUUAAUAUUAAAAUACUUGAUUAACAACUAAAUACUACAAUGAAUUGAAAUAUUAAAAAAUAUUAAUAACCAAAAAGUAUUAAUAAUUUCUAUAACAAAUAGUCUCUAUUCUCAAAUUACAAUUUCAGUAUUCAAAUUAAAUUUCGAACAUAAGUUCUAACAAAAAAUAAUUGUUCAAAAUUAAAUUUCGAACAUAAGUUCAAAUUAAAUUUCGAACUCUUGCUUCCGACUUCAAUUUCCGCAGCUCCAGCUAUUUUGGAUCAACAAAAAAAAAGUCAUAAAAUCAGUGUCCGAAAUUACCAAAUAAAAAUCAUCAUAUCAAAUUUCUGAAAAAUAUGAAAGUUAGGUUGUACUGAUUUGGUCUAGCUUUUCUUUUUAUUUUGUAACAAUAGCACUCAAAUUAAGUAGACAAGCACAUCUGAAAAUGAACAUGAGAACAACGAAAAGGAUUUCAGAUAGUGAAUAGAAGAUCAGAAUCCAACUAUUAUUUAAUAGAUCUCAGAAAAUUCAGAUUAGAACAAAUACACAUUGACAGACCAACAAGCAAUUUGCGCGAAUAUCAGACCGAUAUUAUUUGACAUUCUUAAAUGAGUUUGAAGUUGAAAUUGUACAACCUUACAGAACUAUAUUACCUGGC
rnacentral:lncRNA from 1 species